CGAAGUGUGGGGAGAGAGAGAGAGAGAGAGAGUUGUAUACUCAGAUAAGAGAGGGAAAAAAGCGAGGGAAAAUACAACUCCUGUACUACUAUUACUCAUUACUAAAGACAGGAGGAGAGGAAGAGGAGCGGCCUCAGCUCCGGCCUCCGGUUUCGGCGCUUUUUUUCCUGGUUGCUUUUGAACUUUGGAGUCGGAUCUCUCUUUGAGAGCUGCCGUGCUAAACUUUGGGAGGGCGUUUCCUAGGGUUUCCUGCCUUCGAUUUUGGGAUCUCCAUCCUCCUUUACUUGUCAGAUCUUCGAUCCGAGAAUCUGUGCUUCCUACUGCUUCUGCUCUGAUCCCAUGACCAUGGAAGAUGAUGGAAUCAACAAACCUUCCACUCCACCCAAGCUGGUGGAUUCCCAAGUUGGAAGUGGAAUUGGAGCUGAAGGUGGAGCUACUCCCUCCACCACCUCCAUUGAUGUCCGAUUCUCUGAGUUUUGCAAGAAUGCAUCAUUAUCAAUGGAUGGCAGCACUUUGCCGCAAGCAUUACAUUUGUUUAACGAAAGCAGGCAUCUUUUGGCUGCCAAUGUUUCUGCCAUUGGAAGUGGCACGGCUGAUGAAGCAGAACGUUAUUGGUUUGCAUUUGUUCUUUUCACUGUCAAGAAGUUGGGUGUGAGGGAAGUAGAUACUUCCAGUCCAGGACAUGUUGAUGAAAAUGGAUUUACUUUAUGCCAAAUUUUAAGACUUGCAAAGCUCAAUGUAGGUGAUUUUUUCAAAGAACUUCCUCACUUUAUUCUCAAAGUUGCGCCCAUUUUAACUAAUCUUUACGGUGUUGAUUGGGAGAAGAGACUUGAGGCAAAGCAAAUGCAGACAAACUUUGUACACUUGAGCCUGUUGAGCAAGUACUAUAAGCGCACAUACGGGGAGAUCUUUUUGACGAAUGAUGCCACUGACAAGCUCUCCGCUUUUGCCAAUGAUACUGGAUACACUUUGGACUAUCGUCGUUUUGGAUGGUUGCUAUUUCUGGUGCUUCGGGUUCGUGUAUUUGGUCGUUUUAAGGACUUAGUGACCAGCACUAACGGUCUACUUUCAAUUCUGGCUAUUUUGAUUAUACAUGUUCCAGUAUGCUACAGGAACUUGAACAUCAAUGACUCUUCAAGAUUUGUUAAGAAAGGUGAUAAAGUAGACCUAAUUGCAUCCCUUAGCAAAUUAUACGAGACAUCGGAAGAUGAGUUAAAGAGAAUGCUGGAAAAAUCCAACCAGCUUAUCACAGAUAUAUUGAAGAAGAAGCCGCACAUGGCAUCAAAAUGCAGAAUAGAAAACGUGGACAGGAUUGACACAGAUGAAUUGGUCUAUUUUGAAGAUCUAAUGGACGAAUCAUCUUUAUCUUCUAGUAUGACAAUACUGGAAAAAAAUUAUGAUGACGCGAUUCGAAAUAAAGGUGACUUAGAUGAAAGAAUCUUUAUUAAUGACGAUGAUAGUUUGCUCGGAUCUGGGAGCUUGUCUGGUGGUGCAAUAAACAUGAAUGGAGCAAAGAGGAAGAUUGAUUUGAUUGCAUCACCGGCAAAAACAAUCACAAGUCCACUCUCACCCUACCGCUCUCCUGCUCCAUCUCAUUUACAUUCUGUUCCUGGCAGUGGCAACCCAAGAAUGGCUGCUACUCCUGUAAGCACAGCUAUGAACACUGCAAAGUGGCUUCGAACUGUUAUUGCACCACUUCCAUCAAAACCCUCGGUUGAGUUGGAGAGGUUUCUUUCAUCAUGCGAUAGAGAUGUAACAGCUGAUGUGGUAAGGAGGUCCCAGGUAAUAUUGGAGGCUAUAUUUCCAAGUUGUGGCCCUGGGGAGUAUUCUGCAGCUGGAGGCCUUCAAACCACAAGCUUGAUGGAUGACAUAUGGGCAGAACAACGUAGACUUGAGGCAUUAAAGUUGUACUAUAGGGUUCUGCUUGCAAUGUGUGUGGCAGAGUCCCAAAUUUUGCACGCUAACAACUUAUCCUCUUUACUAACCAAUGAGCGGUUUCAUCGAUGUAUGCUUGCUUGUUCGGCAGAACUCGUUCUUGCCACACAUAAGACAGUGACAAUGUUGUUUCCAGCAGUGCUAGAAAGAACAGGUAUUACAGCUUUUGAUCUGAGCAAGGUGAUAGAGAGUUUCAUUAGACAUGAGGAAAGCCUUCCUAGGGAGUUGAGGCGACAUUUAAAUUCCUUGGAAGAACGACUUUUGGAGAGUAUGGUGUGGGAGAAGGGCUCUUCAAUGUACAAUUCUCUGACAGUUGCUAGGCCAGCACUUUCUGCAGAAAUAAACCGUCUUGGAUUGUUAGCUGAGCCAAUGCCAUCUUUGGAUGCAAUUGCUAUGCAUAUUAACAUGUCUUCUGUGUCAUCAUUACAGAAGCAAGAAAAUGCCCCUGGUGCAGUUCAGAAUGGAGAUAUUCGGUCACCCAAAAGGUUGUGCACCGAGUAUCGUAGUGUGCUGGUAGAGCGGAAUUCCUUCACGUCACCGGUGAAAGAUCGCCUGAUGGCACUUGACAAUCUGAAGUCAAAGUUUCCAGCACCAGCUUUACAGUCUGCAUUUGCCAGUCCUACAAGGCCAAAUCCUGGUGGUGGAGGGGAAACUUGUGCAGAAACUGCAAUUACUGUAUUCUUUGGCAAGAUUGUAAAGUUAGCAGCUGUCAGGAUUAAUGGCAUGGUCGAGCGGCUACAACUGCCUCAGCACAUGAGAGAGACUGUUUACUGUUUUUUCCAGAAAAUUCUUAGUCAGCGGACUACCCUUUUCUUCAACCGCCACAUUGACCAAAUUAUCCUCUGUUGUUUUUAUGGAGUUGCCAAGAUUUCGCAACUGAACCUGACGUUUAAGGAAAUCAUUUAUAACUACAGAAAACAACCACAAUGCAAGCCACAAGUUUUUCGCAGUGUUUUCAUUGACUGGAGAUCAGCACGCUGCAGCGGGAAAAGUGGGCAAGAUCAUGUUGAUAUUAUCACAUUUUACAAUGAAAUAUUUGUGCCUGCUGUGAAACCCCUUUUAGUUGAGCUUUCCCCAGCAGGAACAGCUCAAAAAGAUAAUCAAGUCGUAGGAGGUAGCAAUAACAAUGAGGGUCAAUGUCCCACAUCUCCGAAGACAUCUCCAUUUCCAAGUCUCCCUGACAUGUCUCCGAAGAAAGUCUCUGCUGCACACAAUGUAUACGUCUCUCCCCUGCGAUCAUCAAAGAUCUGGGCCAUGCUUACAGAUGGAUGCUUUGAUCUCACAUAGCUCCAAAAGCUAUUAUGCUUGUGUUGGAGAAAGCACACAUGCUUAUCAGAGCCCCUCGAAAGACUUGACUGCCAUCAAUAAUCGCUUGAAUGGUACUCGGAAGCUCAGGGGUGCACUGAAUUUUGAUGACGUUGAUGUUGGCUUGGUUAGUGACUCUCUAGUUGCGAACAGUUUGUACCUGCAGAAUGGGAACUGUGCAUCAUCAUCUGCACCCUUGAAACCUGAGCAACCUGACUUAUGAUGUUCAGUUCAUCAGUUGAAUAUUUUUGAUGUAAAUAUGCUUUUGGUUUUCUGCUUAUCAUUUUAUGUUGCUUUUUUCCAUUUUAAAGUAAUCUUGUGGCGGUGACACGGGGUAUUGCAUGAGCGGUAAAUUAUUGUAUUAUGCCGCCACGACCUCAAGUGGUCGUCAUGCUCAAUUCUGUUCGCAUCCGAUUCUGGAAAAUAUAUUUUGAGCUAGAUUAAGUCAUUUCUCGUAUAAUUUCAGUGUCCCUCAUCUCUG